rnacentral:rRNA from 1 species
UACGAAGGGGGCUAGCGUUGCUCGGAAUCACUGGGCGUAAAGGGUGCGUAGGCGGGUCUUUAAGUCAGGGGUGAAAUCCUGGAGCUCAACUCCAGAACUGCCUUUGAUACUGAGGAUCUUGAGUUCGGGAGAGGUGAGUGGAACUGCGAGUGUAGAGGUGAAAUUCGUAGAUAUUCGCAAGAACACCAGUGGCGAAGGCGGCUCACUGGCCCGGUACUGACGCUGAGGUGCGAGAGCGUGGGGAGCAAACAGG